rnacentral:rRNA from 1 species
CCUACGGGUGGCAGCAGUGAGGAAUAUUGGUCAAUGGGCGCGAGUCUGAACCAGCCAAGUAGCGUGAAGGAUGACUGCCCUAUGGGUUGUAAACUUCUUUUAUAAAGGAAUAAAACGAGGCACGUGUGCCUUUUUGUAUGUACUUUAUGAAUAAGGAUCGGCUAACUCCGUGCCAGCAGCCGCGGUAAUACGGAGGAUCCGAGCGUUAUCCGGAUUUAUUGGGUUUAAAGGGAGCGUAGAUGGGUUGUUAAGUCAGUUGUGAAAGUUUGCGGCUCAACCGUAAAAUUGCAAUUGAUACUGGCAGUCUUGAGUACAGUUGAGGUAGGCGGAAUUCGUGGUGUAGCGGUGAAAUGCUUAGAUAUCACGAAGAACCCCGAUUGCGAAGGCAGCUUACUAAACUGUGACUGACAUUGAUGCUCGAAAGUGUGGGUAUCAAACAGGAUUAGAUACCCUAGUAGUC